CUCCUGCCUUGAUGAUAAUGGACCGAACCUCUGAACCUGAAUGAGAAAAGAAGCUAAUAAACUGAACGAGCAAUGGGACUCAGCACUAUGACCCAAAGGCCCCCAACUUGAGAAAUCACCGCGAUUCUGGAGCAGCCACUUCACCUGCUCCUCCACCCUCCUGCACUGGUGCCUAUCCCCAGAGAUGGCUCUUGUGGUGGCUGUGCUGCUCUCACAGAGAUGUACCUGA